rnacentral:rRNA from 1 species
GCUUGUCUCAAAGAUUAAGCCAUGCAUGUGUAAGUUUAAAUAAAUCUAAACUGUGAAACUGCGAAUGGCUCAUUAUAUCAGUUAUAGUUUAUUUGAUAGUACUUUACUACUUGGAUAACCGUAGUAAUUCUAGAGCUAAUACAUGCGUAAAAACCUGACUUCUGGAAGGGUUGUAUUUAUUAGAUUAAAACCAAUUCACUUUCGGGUGAUAUUGUGGUGAGUCAUAAUAACUUAGCGGAUCGCAGUGCCUUCUGGCGGCGAUGAAUCAUUCAAGUUUCUGCCCUAUCAGCUUUCGAUGGUAGUGUAUUGGACUACCAUGGCGGUAACGGGUAACGAAGAAUAAGGGUUCGAUUUCGGAGAGGGAGCCUGAGAGACGGCUACCACAUCCAAGGAAGGC